AGUAUUAAGAAGUCAUAAAGAGUGACGACUGGUUUUCAUGCUCAUGUAUGGGUGUGCCUUCCUUGAACCUUGUUAAGAUGUUAGUAUAUUACCCAUUUAAAG